CAGAGGGUGCAAGCGUUGUUCGGAAUUAUUGGGCGUAAAGCGCGUGUAGGCGGCUUUGCAAGUCGGGUGUGAAAGCCCUCAGCUUAACUGAGGAAGUGCGCCCGAAACUGCAUGGCUUGAGUACCGGAGAGGGUGGCGGAAUUCCCCAAGUAGAGGUGAAAUUCGUAGAUAUGGGGAGGAACACCGGUGGCGAAGGCGGCCACCUGGACGGAUACUGACGCUGAGACGCGAAAGCGUGGGGAGCAAACAGGAUUAGAUACCCUGGUAGUCCACGCCGUAAACGAUGAGAACUAGGUGUUGUGGGUGUUGACCCCGCGGUGCCGUAGCUAACGCAUUAAGUUCUCCGCCUGGGAAGUACGGCCGCAAGGCUA
rnacentral:rRNA from 1 species